AGCGAACGCUGGCGGCAGGCCUAACACAUGCAAGUCGAACGGAUCCUUCGGGAUUAGUGGCGGACGGGUGAGUAACACGUGGGAACGUGCCCUUUGGUUCGGAACAACUCAGGGAAACUUGAGCUAAUACCGGAUGUGCCCCUCGGGGGAAAGAUUUAUCGCCAUUGGAGCGGCCCGCGUCUGAUUAGCUAGUUGGUGAGGGAAAGGCUCACCAAGGCGACGAUCAGUAGCUGGUCUGAGAGGAUGAUCAGCCACAUUGGGACUGAGACACGGCCCAAACUCCUACGGGAGGCAGCAGUGGGGAAUCUUGCGCAAUGGGCGAAAGCCUGACGCAGCCAUGCCGCGUGAAUGAUGAAGGUCUUAGGAUUGUAAAAUUCUUUCACCGGGGACGAUAAUGACGGUACCCGGAGAAGAAGCCCCGGCUAACUUCGUGCCAGCAGCCGCGGUAACAC
rnacentral:rRNA from 1 species